rnacentral:rRNA from 1 species
UGGGGGAUAUUGCACAAUGGGCGAAAGCCUGAUGCAGCGACGCCGCGUGGGGGAUGAAGGCCUUCGGGUUGUAAACUUCUUUUGCUCUGAACAAGGCAUGCCUUUGGGGUGUGUUGAGUGUAGGGGUUGAUUAGCGCCGGCUAACUACGUGCCAGCAGCCGCGGUAAUACGUAGGGCGCGAGCGUUGUCCGGAAUUAUUGGGCGUAAAGGGCUUGUAGGUGGCUGGUUGCGUCUGUCGUGAAAGCUCAUGGCUUAACUGUGGGUUUGCGGUGGGUACGGGCUGGGUUGGGGGCAGUAGGGGGGGCUGGAAUUCCUGGUGUAGCGGUGGAAUGCGCAGAUAUCAGGAGGAAUACCGGUGGCGAAGGCGGGUCUCUGGGCUGUUACUGACGCUGAGGAGCGAAAGCGUGGGGAGCGAACAGG